GCCAGGGUAGCUCAGCGGGUAGAGCACACGGCUGUUAACCGUGGGGUCGGAGGUUCGAGUCCUCCCCCUGGCG
rnacentral:tRNA from 1 species